rnacentral:rRNA from 1 species
AGCUGCGCAGGCCUAACACAUGCAAGUCGAGCGGUAGUAGAGAAGCUUGCUCUCUCUUGAGAGCGGCGGACGGGUGAGUAAUGCCUAGGAAUCUGCCUGGUAGUGGGGGAUAACGCUCGGAAACGGACGCUAAUACCGCAUACGUCCUACGGGAGAAAGCAGGGGACCUUCGGGCCUUGCGCUAUCAGAUGAGCCUAGGUCGGAUUAGCUAGUUGGUGAGGUAAUGGCUCACCAAGGCGACGAUCCGUAACUGGUCUGAGAGGAUGAUCAGUCACACUGGAACUGAGACACGGUCCAGACUCCUACGGGAGGCAGCAGUGGGGAAUAUUGGACAAUGGGCGAAAGCCUGAUCCAGCCAUGCCGCGUGUGUGAAGAAGGUCUUCGGAUUGUAAAGCACUUUAAGUUGGGAGGAAGGGCAUUAACCUAAUACGUUAGUGUUUUGACGUUACCGACAGAAUAAGCACCGGCUAACUCUGUGCCAGCAGCCGCGGUAAUACAGAGGGUGCAAGCGUUAAUCGGAAUUACUGGGCGUAAAGCGCGCGUAGGUGGUUUGUUAAGUUGGAUGUGAAAUCCCCGGGCUCAACCUGGGAACUGCAUUCAAAACUGACAAGCUAGAGUAUGGUAGAGGGUGGUGGAAUUUCCUGUGUAGCGGUGAAAUGCGUAGAUAUAGGAAGGAACACCAGU